AGAACGAACGCUGGCGGCAGGCCUAACACAUGCAAGUCGAACGCCCCGCAAGGGGAGUGGCAGACGGGUGAGUAACGCGUGGGAACCUUCCCUAUGGUUCGGAAUAGCUCAGGGAAACCUGGGGUAAUACCGAAUAAGCCCUUCGGGGGAAAGAUUUAUCGCCAUUGGAUGGGCCCGCGUAGGAUUAGCUAGUUGGUGAGGUAACGGCUCACCAAGGCGACGAUCCUUAGCUGGUCUGAGAGGAUGAUCAGCCACACUGGGACUGAGACACGGCCCAGACUCCUACGGGAGGCAGCAGUGGGGAAUAUUGGACAAUGGGCGAAAGCCUGAUCCAGCCAUGCCGCGUGAGUGACGAAGGCCUUAGGGUUGUAAAGCUCUUUUGGCGGGGAAGAUAAUGACGGUACCGCAGAGUAAGCUCCGGCUAACGUCGUGCCAGCAGCCGC
rnacentral:rRNA from 1 species